rnacentral:rRNA from 1 species
UGCCAGCCGCCGCGGUAAUACGGAGGGUGCAAGCGUUGUUCGGAAUCAUUGGGCGUAAAGCGAGUGUAGGCGGCCGAGCAAGUCGGAUGUGAAAUCCCAGGGCCCAACCCUGGAACUGCAUUCGAUACUGCCCGGCUAGAGUCCCGGAGAGGGUGGCGGAAUUUCUGGUGUAGAGGUGAAAUUCGUAGAUACCAGAAGGAACACCAGUGGCGAAGGCGGCCAUCUGGACGGUGACUGACGCUGAGACUCGAAAGCGUGGGGAGCAAACAGGAUUAGAUA